CCUUACACCAAAUAGUAGCUCCUAUAUCUAGCUAACAACUUGUUUGGAUUCCUAAAUUAUUCAUCAGCAGACUACCUAUUUGCUGUUUGCAAAAGAAAAUUUUUAUUUGAAAAGAGGUAGGAUAAGUUCCUGUCUCAUACUGUUUCUAUCGAAUUAGAUGAAAAUAUGAAUCAUAUAUUUAUUUAGAUAAAACGGAUACACUUAACCAUCACUAAUAAAGAUGA
rnacentral:lncRNA from 1 species